ACGUAGGGGGCAAGCGUUAUCCGGAAGAAGGGGGAGAAAAGAGGGCGUAGGUGGUUUUUUAAGCGAGAGGUGAAAGGCAAUAGCUUAACUAUUGUAAGCCUUGCGAACUGGAAGACUUGAGUGCAGGAGAGGAAAGUGGAAUUCCUAGUGUAGCGGUGAAAUGCGUAGAUAUUAGGAGGAACACCAGUGGCGAAGGCAACUUUCUGGACUGUAACUGACACUGAGGCACGAAAGCGUGGGGAGCAAACAG
rnacentral:rRNA from 1 species